UCAGGAUGAACGCUAGCUACAGGCUAACACAUGCAAGUCGAGGGGCAGCGAGAGUGUAGCAAUACACUUGUCGGCGACCGGCGGCACGGGUGAGUAACGCGUAUCCAACCUGGCCCUUAGUAGGGGAUAGCCCGGCGAAAGUCGGAUUAAUACCCUAUGUUCUCCUUUGAGAGCAUUCGAGCAGGAGCAAAGAUUUAUCGCUAGGGGAUGGGGAUGCGUCCGAUUAGGCAGCAGGCGGGGUGACGGCCCACCUGGCCGACGAUCGGUAGGGGUUCUGAGAGGAAGGUCCCCCACACUGGUACUGAGACACGGACCAGACUCCUACGGGAGGCAGCAGUGAGGAAUAUUGGUCAAUGGGCGGGAGCCUGAACCAAGCCAAGUAGCGUGAGGGACGACGGCCCUACGGGUUGUAAACCUCUUUUGCCGGGGAAUAAAGUGCGCCACGCGUGGCGUUUUGUAUGUACCCGGAGAAUAAGGACCGUCUAAUUCCGUGCCAGCCGCUGC
rnacentral:rRNA from 1 species